CCGCGACGCUGGUAACAGCGGCGGCAGGGCAAACCCCACACGGAGCAAGGUCAAAUAGAAAAGCGCUUCCCGCAAGGGAUGAAGGGCGGCCCGUCCGAUGCUUUUGGGUAGACUGCUGGACCCCGGGGGUGAUCCCGGGGCAAGAUGAAUGAUUGCCAUCCCCGGGUUCAUAGCCCGGGGAAACAGGAUUCGGCUUAUGGCCGGCUCCGGCGC
rnacentral:RNase_P_RNA from 1 species